GCUCCGAUGGCAUAAUGGUUAGAGAGUCCGCUUCAGAUGCGGGCGGUCGCGGGUUCGAACCCCAGUCGAAUCA